rnacentral:rRNA from 1 species
UGAGGAAUAUUGGGCAAUGCCCGCAAGGGUGACCCAGCAACGCCGCGUGGAGGAUGAAUGUCGUAAGAUUGUAAACUCCUGUUAGAGGGGAAGAAUAGUACCGGUUGGACCGGUAUAUGACUGUACCCUCAGAGAAAGCCCCGGCUAACUACGUGCCAGCAGCCGCGGUAAUACGUAGGGGGCAAGCGUUGUCCGGAUUUACUGGGUGUAAAGGGCGCGCAGGCGGGAUAAAAAGUCAGUGGUGAAAUCCUACAGCUUAACUGUAGAACGGCCUUUGAUACUUUUAUUCUUGAGUUCGGGAGAGAGAGACGGAAUUCCAGGUGUAGUGGUGAAAUACGUAGAUAUCUGGAAGAACACCAGUUGCGAAGGCGGUCUCUUGGUCCGACACUGACGCUGAGGCGCGAAAGCGUGGGGAGCAAACA